UCCAAAAGGUCUCCCCGAAGCAGGGACCAGCGGGGCGCCAGAGACUGGGGGCGGCGCUGCAUGCUGGGAACUGUAGUCUCGACCGCGGUCUAGGAGCAAGGGGAGCGUUGCAUUCUGGGACUCAGUUCCAAAGUGCGGCAUGCCGGGAGUGGAAGUCUUCCCAGAAGUACCUUGUGGCAUGCUGGGAAUCGUAGUCUUUUAUAAAGCCGAUAAUAUGAACAGUGACAAUUGGUCGGAAUUUUACAGUUAGAUCUGGCAAAAUGAUCGGCCCUUAUUUCUCCCAGUUUUCUUUAUCGACUGCCUGAAAAUGAAAUCAAAGGAUGGUGUGGCCUUCUCCACAGAGCUUUGAUGACGCUGGUGAGCCUAUGGAGAGGCCUAUGUGGCAAGAAACUGGGGACAGCCUCCAGCUGACAAUUAGCAAGGAAGCCUUCAGUCAACAGGCUACAAGGAAGUGAAUCCAGCCAACAACCAUGUGAGCUUGGAGGAAGAUCCUUCCCCAGUCCAGCUCUCAGAUGAGACCCCAGCCCAGGCCAACACUUUGAGCGCAGCCCUGUAAGAGAACCUGAAGGAGAGAACCAAGCUAAGCUAUGCCUAGAUUCCUGACGCACAGAAACCGCGAACUAAUAAAUGAGUGUCAUUUAAGGUG